CAUUUUCUUUUAAAGGUUGUAGGGUUCAUCUGGGGUUAUUUGGUUCAGCAGUUUGUUCAGACAGUUUACAUGGUUGGUGCUGGCUUUAUAUUAUCAUGCAUUCUCACAUUACCACCGUGGCCUAUGUUUAGAAGAAAUCCAUUACCAUGGCAGAAAAAGAAAGAAGAAUCUGAUGAAAAGAAAGAUGGUGCAAAAGAAAAGAGAGUAACUAAAAAGAAAGAAAAAUCAAAAUAGAUGCUUUGUGUUGUGAUAGGAGUUACUGAUUAAACAUCAAUUGAUUACUGUUGAUGGAAUCAAUCACUAUCUUACAAUUUCAUUGAAUUAUCAAUCAUUAUUGAUAAUAUUGAUAUAGUUAUGGUGACUAAUCAAAAAUCAAUUGAUUGGUCAUUAUAAAUUGAUUACAUUGGUAUUGGUUAUUGAUUAUUAGUGAUAAAUAUUGUCAGAUAUUUUCAAUUUUUCAAAAUAUCAAUUGAAUAUUGGUCUAUAUUAAUUGGUUAUUGUUAACCUUGAACAAUUUAUUAUUGGUGAUCAGUAACAUAAUAAUCAUGAAGUCAUAAUCACUCAUUGCUAAUAUGCAAUAGUCAAUAGCGAUACUGCCCAACCAAUUACUGUAUCUUAUUUAUUUUUGUUUUAUGUUGGUGUUCUGUCAAGCUAAGUUGGUAAUUGUAGGGCCUCAGUUUGGUGAUAUUUUUCAGUAUACAGUAUCAAUUUACCAAUAGUACCGAUCAGAAUAUGCAGUAAACAUGUAAAUCCAAGAAAAAGCUAAGUUGAAAACAGUAGAGCGGGAGAAAAAAUCAAGAGGUGCUGCAGCUUUGGACAGCACCCUCACUAUUGAUGGUAAAUGUCAUCAUUGAUAACCAAUAAAUUUUGAGCACUCAACAAAAAUUUUCAUAAUUUUAUUAGUAUAAUGUGCUCAUUUGAAUAUAUUUAUCUGUUUUCGGAAUAAACUGAAAAGUCUUAAA